GAGCAGUUUGGCAUUGAGUUUCAUUAGUAAACUUGACAGUAUUUACACUCUUAAUCUUCUUAGGAAUUACAUGAUGUCCACACAAGGCGUACCACUGUUCUCCAUGCCCUUCCUGUCUAUCUACGUGAGGAAACCUCUGGAUUUUUGAGGACAUGUGUGGAUGAUACCAAUGAGCCGGACCUCAGGGAUGCAGCAGUUGUCCUCCUGACAACCAUCACCGAUGAUGCCGAGAGUCCAGUUACGUACGACCCAGUGAGAAUCUCUGUUAUCCUAGAGGGUGGUGUGAUUGUCAACCUCUCCAGCCUUCCUGAUGCCUUCCUGGGCAUGCUCAGUUGAAGUUUCCAUCUCUGCGCGUUCAAGAUGUAAGAAAAAUAACACGAAAGAAAUGCAACAAUGAAAACUUCAAAAAGGCAUCAACAACCAAGCAAGUGGAUCCAUAAAAUGGACAGAUUUUUUUAAAGGCAUUUUCAAAAAG